AGAACUUAGGGAACAGGUCGCUGGAAAUUGCAAGCACUGUUCAUCUGAAACUUACCCAGAAAAUUACAGUCAUGCUCCUAAUUUCUAAACCCUAAUUUCAAGGCAUCAUUUCACAACAACUCCUUCAUCAUCACAGAUAGACCCUACCAAAACCCUCUUCCCUGCAAUUUCACCUUCACCCCAAUUAAGGGUGUUCCAGCCGACCUCCUUCUGAAAGCUCAAAUCUGCCAGUAUUCUCUCAACACAUGACCGCCGCUAUUCAACUCCCCAACCCUUGAUCUACUGCCUGCCAGUGUUUCAUCACUGGAGGAGCCUUGCUGGUGGUGCAUGCUCCCCAUGUGCCAGCAACCUGCGAGUGGGAAUAUCCAGACUGUUUUCUUGCUUCCAAAAUCGCGAGAAAUCGCCUCCAGGCACCACAAAUUGGGUUUUCCUUUGAGAUUUUGAAGCAAAAUUGAGGAAUAUUUAAGUGCUAGUGCAAGUUAUUUCGAGGAUAAUUUCAGCUUCAACACUGUAUUCUGACUUCAUUUUGCUGCAUUUUGUAGGUUUUUAUUUUGUGGAGACUUGAGAAAUUGCGGAGUUGGCUUGAGAUAUUGGACUACCAACACAAAUUUCAGGGUUUUGAGGCCAUGCCAGCAUUCAGAUUGACGCCCAGCUACUGUGCUGUUUCUUGAGGAUCUGAGAAUGGGAAGUUGAGAAAUCGCUUGACUUACCUUGAGAAUUUGAUGGUCAACUCAAUUUGUGCUCAAAAUCUUUGGCGAGAAGAUGAACAACCUGCAUGUAUUCACCAAGAAUCUGAAAAUGAUGAAUUAAUGGCAAGCCAUCAUGACGAAGAAGUUGCUGAGCAAAGAUUAAGUUGAUCAUAAGAAUUUGGAAGAGGCAUGUAAUAAAGCAAGUGGAUUUGUGUAAGCAAAGACAGUCAGCUGCAAAUCCUGCUCUUAAUUUCCUAUCAUUGGGCCCACCUAUUCAAAAGGAUAAAUAUGAGGUCGACGUUGGAGACUUCCUUUCAAGCCCACUACUACAUCGUAUGAGGAUGAUCCAACAUCCUCGAGACUGACGGAGCCCGUUGGUACUAAUAUGGCGGCACCAUUGUCUAAGCCAUCGCCACCUCGGCCAGACAUGGAUACCACUUAUGCGACUGACCCACAGGCAUCUACGUCCAUGGUUAGGUCAGGCCAUGGUGCAGCAAAGAACAUGUCGCUGAAGAAGCACUAGGAUAGGACUAAACAGCGGAUUCGGAUCGACAUUCCUCUAGGAUACACCGUACCACUAAACGAUUGGUGCACUGCGUGGAUGCGGGAGCUGAGCAUUAUAUGCCGACAAUAUGCUCCAGUCACCACAUUCAACGAGCCCCAGGUGGCUCAGGAGCAGCGCAUGGUCCUUUACAUGCACAUUUUGGAGGAGUUUGAUAUGGACAUCCUCGAGGAUGACCAUGUAAGAAGGGCCGUCGACGUCCAAUUUUGUAAUAAAUUUAAGAGCUAUCGCUCGAAAAUACGUACCCAUUUUCGAGCAAUGGGAGAUGAAGCAGAAGCGUGGCCAUACGAUAAGAUAUCCCAAGAAGAUUGGGACGUGGUGUGUCGCCAUUUCCGUGACCCGCGCUAUCAGGCCAUAUGUGAAACAAAUGCUGCGAACCGCAGCAAACUCCCUACGACGCAUUGCGGUGGAGCGAAGCUAUUUGUAAAUCAUCGCCAGGCACAGAUGGUCGAGUUAAGGGAUGCACUUGUUUUAGAGGGGAGUCCGCACAUAAUAGAUUUUGAGAUAACUUCCCUGGUGCUUAGGCAAUGAGCAGGGGGCUGGGUGAAAGGUCUUUGAAGUGGAUACAUCACCCCAACAACAUCAUCAUCCAUGGGUGCGGUGGCUCAUGUAGAGAUCGAACGACAGCAUCGAGAGGCCGAGUGUGAUAAGCAGGAGAUGGCUCGGCAGAUGUAGAGGAUCUCUAUGGAGAACGCGGAACUAAGAUCGGACCUCUCCACUGUUUGAGCCUAGAUGCAAGUCAUGAUGGAUAGGCAGGCGUGGUUAGAGGAAAGGAUGUGCUGAUCUAGACAAUAUGAUGCGGGUGGCUCCUCUGAUUGAUUAUAAGUGUGUAUACAAUGAAUGGAGGGGCUUUAUCUAGUUUACCCGGAGUUUCUUUUCAAAAUUGAUUUGAAUUGCGAUAAGCCUGCCCAUGUAGACAAAAUGAAUUUUAACCUUUCAUCUGAUUGGUUGUCGCUUAUAGUUAAGGUAUGAUUUAAAUAUUAAUUUUAUUUUACUUGAAUCUUGAUGCCCUUCUUGCGGUCAUUGCAUCCACGAGGCAAGAUUCAAGAGAAAUAAAAUUAAUAUUUAAAUCAUACCUUAACUAUAAGCGACAACCUAUCAGAUGAAAGACUAAAAUUCAUUUUGUCUACAUGGGCAGGCUUAUCGCAUUUCAAAUCAAUUGUGAAAAGAAACUCCAGGUAAACUAGAUAAAGAAUCGUUGAUGCAACCACCACCAUCCACGGCCUCGUCAUCCUUCUUUAUCAUCCAUAACCUCAUUGCAGCUAAAGAUGGGGUUUACAACCGUGACAACGUCAGGACGAUGUCAUGCACUACGAAUGUAGCUUUUCACUUUCUUUGUUAUUUGAACAGAUGAAAUGUAUUUGAAUUUGAAUUUAUAUAAUGUAUUUGUAUUUAAAUUUGAAUUUGUAUAAUAUAUUUGUAUUUGAAUUUGUAUAACAUAUUUGUAAUUUAA